rnacentral:ncRNA from 2 species
GUGCGAGAUCGUGGAGUGAUUUGGGGCGUAUUGCAACCACGUUAAAAAAAGUGCUAAAAGGCCGUUUCAUCAGCCUG